AUUGAACGCUGGCGGCAUGCUUUACACAUGCAAGUCGAACGGUAACAGGCCUUCGGGUUCUGACGAGUGGCGACCGGGUGCGUAAUGCAUCGGAACGUGCCCAGAGGUGGGGGAUAACGCAGCGAAAGCUGUGCUAAUACCGCAUGUGAUCUGAGGCUGAAAGCGGGGGACCGGGCAGCAAUGUUUGGCCUCGCGCCUUUGGAGCGGCCGAUGUCAGAUUAGGUAGUUGGUGGGGUAAAGGCCUACCAAGCCGACGAUCUGUAGCUGGCCUGAGAGGACGACCAGCCACACUGGGACUGAGACACGGCCCAGACUCCUACGGGAGGCAGCAGUGGGGAAUUUUGGACAAUGGGCGCAAGCCUGAUCCAGCAAUGCCGCGUGCGGGAAGAAGGCCUUCGGGUUGUAAAGCGCUUUUGUACGGAACGAAAAGGCUCUGGCUAAUACCUGGGGCUGAUGACGGUACCGUAAGAAUAAGCACCGGCUAACUACGUG
rnacentral:rRNA from 1 species